rnacentral:tRNA from 1 species
UAGCUCAGUUGGUAGAGUGCUUGCCUUGCAUGCAGAAGGCCCUGGGUUCAAACCCCAG